rnacentral:lncRNA from 1 species
UGUGAAUGCUCUCUCUUUUCCCAGGCCCUUCAGCAAUUUAUCAUGCUUUCUGUUCAGGUGCAUCUGAAACAAGUCUUACAAGAAACCCUCAGACCAAAGCAAACAGUGCCACAAAAAAAUGUUGCAAUUCAACCCAAUUUUGAGGGAAAUGCCCCUGAUAACUUCUCAGCUCCGAAGAGAAGCAGUGGAGGCUGGGGCCACUGAGUCUCCAUGGAAAUCAGAGAGGAGUGAUGCUCUGGAGAGGCACCUGGUUUAUCUUCCACUUCGGUCCAACUUGGAGAUGGAAUUGAAAUCACAAGUAUGUGUGAAAAUGGCUGGGGAGCCUUUAUUGGGAGUUAUACUGAAGGUUACUUCACACAACCACAGACUGGGCUUCAGCAGGUACGCUUUUCCAAACACCAGUAGAAAAUCUUACACUGAGAAUGGGCACAUAGUAGUUUGUAGGGAUGUGGAGCAGCACAGCGUAUCCCCAAGAUAGAAAUAUUUAUAUAAGUAUAAAUAAAUAAUUUUUUAAAAUUUCCA